AUUGAACGCUGGCGGCAUGCCUUACACAUGCAAGUCGGACGGCAGCGCGGGAGCAAUCCUGGCGGCGAGUGGCGAACGGGUGAGUAAUACAUCGGAACAUGUCCAGUAGUGGGGGAUAGCCCGGCGAAAGCCGGAUUAAUACCGCAUACGAUCUAUGGAUGAAAGCGGGGGAUCGCAAGACCUCGCGCUAUUGGGGUGGCCGAUGGCGGAUUAGCUAGUUGGUGGGGUAAAGGCCUACCAAGGCGACGAUCCGUAGCUGGUCUGAGAGGACGACCAGCCACACUGGGACUGAGACACGGCCCAGACUCCUACGGGAGGCAGCAGUGGGGAAUUUUGGACAAUGGGGGCAACCCUGAUCCAGCAAUGCCGCGUGUGUGAAGAAGGCCUUCGGGUUGUAAAGCACUUUUGUCCGGGAAGAAAUCCCCUGCCCUAAUACGGCGGGGGGAUGACGUACCGAAGAUAG
rnacentral:rRNA from 1 species